UAGUAACGGCGAGUGAAGCGGCAAGAGCUCAAAUUUGAAAGCUGGCCCCCUCGGGGUCCGCAUUGUAAUUUGCAGAGGAUGCUUCGGGAACGGCCCCCAUCUAAGUGCCCUGGAACGGGCCGUCAUAGAGGGUGAGAAUCCCGUCUGGGAUGGGGUGGCCGCGCCCGUGUGAAGCUCCUUCGACGAGUCGAGUUGUUUGGGAAUGCAGCUCUAUUGGGUGGUAAAUUUCAUCUAAAGCUAAAUAUUGGCCGGAGACCGAUAGCGCACAAGUAGAGUGAUCGAAAGAUGAAAAGCACUUUGAAAAGAGAGUUAAACAGCACGUGAAAUUGUUGAAAGGGAAGCGCUUGCGACCAGACUCGCCCGCGGGGUUCAGCCGGCACUCGUGCCGGUGUACUUCCCCGCGGGCGGGCCAGCGUCGGUUUGGGCGGCCGGUCAAAGGCCUCUGGAAGGUAACGCCUCUCGGGGCGUCUUAUAGCCAGGGGUGCCAUGCGGCCUGCCCGGACCGAGGAACGCGCUUCGGCUCGGACGCUGGCAUAAUGGUCGUAAGCGACCCGUCUUGAAACACGGACCAAGGAGUCUAACAUCUACGCGAGUGUUCGGGUGUCAAACCCGUGCGCGCAGUGAAAGCGAACGGAGGUGGGAACCCCCCGGGGUGCACCAUCGACCGAUCCUGAUGUCUUCGGAUGGAUUUGAGUAAGAGCGUAGCUGUUGGGACCCGAAAGAUGGUGAACUAUGCCUGAAUAGGGCGAAGCCAGAGGAAACUCUGGUGGAGGCUCGCAGCGGUUCUGACGUGCAAAUCGAUCGUCAAA
rnacentral:rRNA from 1 species